rnacentral:rRNA from 1 species
CAGCUAGUUGGUGAGGUAAUGGCUCACCAAGGCGACGAUCCGUAACUGGUCUGAGAGGAUGAUCAGUCACACUGGAACUGAGACACGGUCCAGACUCCUACGGGAGGCAGCAGUGGGGAAUAUUGGACAAUGGGCGAAAGCCUGAUCCAGCCAUGCCGCGUGUGUGAAGAAGGUCUUCGGAUUGUAAAGCACUUUAAGUUGGGAGGAAGGGCCAUUACCUAAUACGUGAUGGUUUUGACGUUACCGACAGAAUAAGCACCGGCUAACUCUGUGCCAGCAGCCGCGGUAAUACAGAGGGUGCAAGCGUUAAUCGGAAUUACUGGGCGUAAAGCGCGCGUAGGUGGUUUGUUAAGUUGGAUGUGAAAGCCCCGGGCUCAACCUGGGAACUGCAUUCAAAACUGACAAGCUAGAGUAUGGUAGAGGGUGGUGGAAUUUCCUGUGUAGCGGUGAAAUGCGUAGAUAUAGGAAGGAACACCAGUGGCGAAGGCGACCACCUGGACUGAUACUGACACUGAGGUGCGAAAGCGUGGGGAGCAAACAGGAUUAGAU